rnacentral:rRNA from 1 species
UACGGGGGGAGCAAGCGUUGUUCGGAUUUACUGGGCGUAAAGGGCGCGUAGGCGGCGUAACAAGUCACUUGUGAAAUCUCCGGGCUUAACCCGGAGCGGCCAAGUGAUACUGUUGUGCUAGAGUGCAGAAGGGGCAACUGGAAUUUACGGUGUAGCAGUGAAAUGCGUAGAGAUCGUAAGGAAGGCCAGUGGCGAAGGCGAGUUCCUGGACAGUUACUGACGCUGAGGCACGAAGGCCAGGGGAGCAAACGGG